UACGUAGGGGGCAAGCGUUGUCCGGAUUUAUUGGGCGUAAAGGGCACGCAGGCGGUCUUUUAAGUUUCGAGUGACAGGUGGUGGCUCAACUGCCACAGGCCUCGGAAAACUGGAAGACUUGAGAGCGAGAGAGGGAUGCGGAAUUCCAGGUGGAGCGGUGAAAUGCGUAGAGAUCUGGAAGAACACCGAAGGCGAAGGCAGCAUCCUGGCUCGUAUCUGACGCUCAUGUGCGAAAGCUAGGGGAGCGAACGGG
rnacentral:rRNA from 1 species